rnacentral:rRNA from 1 species
UACAGAGGUCCCAAGCGUUGUUCGGAUUUACUGGGCGUAAAGGGUGCGUAGGCGGUUGGGUAAGUCUGACGUGCCAUCUCCGGGCCUACCCCGGAAACUGCGUUGGAUACUAUUUGACUAGAGGAAUGGAGGGGAGACUGGAAUACUUGGUGUAGCAGUGAAAGGCGUAGAUAUCAAGUGGAACACCAGUGGCGAAGGCGAGGCUCGGGACAUUUCCUGACGCUGAGGCACGAAAGCCAGGGGAGCAAACGGG